rnacentral:rRNA from 1 species
GACGAACGCUGGCGGCGUGCUUAACACAUGCAAGUCGAACGGAAAGGCCCUGCUUGCAGGGUGCUCGAGUGGCGAACGGGUGAGUAACACGUGGGUGAUCUGCCCCUUACUUUGGGAUAAGCCUGGGAAACUGGGUCUAAUACUGGAUAGGACCAUGCUGUAGGUGGUGUGGUGGAAAGAUUAGUUUCGGUAAGGGAUGAGCUCGCGGCCUAUCAGCUUGUUGGUGGGGUAAUGGCCUACCAAGGCGUCGACGGGUAGCCGGCCUGAGAGGGUGGACGGCCACAUUGGGACUGAGAUACGGCCCAGACUCCUACGGGAGGCAGCAGUGGGGAAUAUUGCACAAUGGGCGCAAGCCUGAUGCAGCGACGCCGCGUGGGGGAUGACGGCCUUCGGGUUGUAAACUCCUUUCAGCCAUGACGAAGCCCUUGUGGUGACGGUAGUGGUAGAAGAAGCACUGGCUAACUACGUG